rnacentral:rRNA from 1 species
UACGGGGGGGGCAAGCGUUGUUCGGAAUUACUGGGCGUAAAGGGCUCGUAGGCGGCCAACUAAGUCAGACGUGAAAUCCCCCGGCUUAACCUGGGAACUGCGUCUGAUACUGGGAGGCUUGAGUAUGGGAGAGGGAUGUAGAAUUCCAGGUGUAGCGGUGAAAUGCGUAGAUAUCUGGAGGAAUACCGGUGGCGAAGGCGGCAUCCUGGACCAUAACUGACGCUGAGGCGCGAAAGCUAGGGGAGCAAACGGG